UACGUAGGCAGCGAGCGUUGUUCGGAGUUACUGGCGUAAAGGGUGUGUAGGCGGUUGUUUAAGUUUGGUGUGAAAUCUCCCGGCUCAACCGGAGGUGCGCCGAAUACUGAAUGACUAGAGUGCGGAGAGGAAGUGGAAUUCCUGGUGUAGCGGUGAAUGACGUAGAUAUCAGGAGAACACCGGUGUGUAGACGCUUCUGACCGUACUGACGCUGAGACACGAAGCGUGUAGCAACAG
rnacentral:rRNA from 1 species